rnacentral:rRNA from 1 species
AUUGAACGCUGGCGGAAUGCUUUACACAUGCAAGUCGAACGGUAACAGGUCUUCGGAUGCUGACGAGUGGCGAACGGGUGAGUAAUGCAUCGGAACGUGCCCAGUAGUGGGGGAUAGCCCGGCGAAAGCCGGAUUAAUACCGCAUACGACCUGAGGGUGAAAGGGGGGGAUCGCAAGACCUCUCGCUAUUGGAGCGGCCGAUGUCAGAUUAGCUAGUUGGUGGGGUAAAGGCCUACCAAGGCAACGAUCUGUAGUUGGUCUGAGAGGACGACCAGCCACACUGGGACUGAGACACGGCCCAGACUCCUACGGGAGGCAGCAGUGGGGAAUUUUGGACAAUGGGCGCAAGCCUGAUCCAGCAAUGCCGCGUGCAGGAAGAAGG